CUUUGGGAGGGUGAGAAGCCUGAUUUCAUACUUUGUUUGUGAGUGCACUCAUUUCCACUAAUAUAUCACUCACCUAUUUUUUUAUCUUCUGUAUAGAUUCCGUUUAUGAAUUACAACCUAUAUCUCAGGUUAUUUGAAUUUGUUCUUAUAUUAUCACGUAUUUGGGAGGUGUUUCCACUUUGUCUUUUUAAUUAUAUGUGAUUUAGGUGUUAGUGAGGUACACCUGGUAUCUCUCCCUUAUAUAUGAUUUUUAUAUAAUUUUGUAUAGUGUGUAUACUUUAUUGCUCUUGUUUGUAUUUUCCUAUUUCCUCACUAUUGUAUACCACUAUUAACGUUUUAUGGCUUCACAAAAUGUAUCACAAAAUGUGUAUGACGAAAUUAGAAAUGAGAGGAAACAAAAAAUUGAUGCUCUAUUUAGAGGAGGCUCUAGACCCACUGACAACUCUUUAAAGCAUAAAUUUAUC